UACAGAGGGUGCAAGCGUUAAUCGGAGUCACUGGGCGUAAAGCGCGUGUAGGCGGUCUGUUAAGUCGGAUGUGAAAGCUCCGGGCUCAACUCGGAAAUUGCAUCCGAUACUGGCAGACUUGAGGACGGUAGAGGUCGGUGGAAUAGCGAGUGUACCGGUGAAAUGCGUAGAGAUCGGGGGAACACCCGUGGCGAAGGCGGCCGGCUGGGCCGUUCCUGACGCUGAGGCGCGAAGGCGUGGGGAGCGAACGGG
rnacentral:rRNA from 1 species